rnacentral:rRNA from 1 species
ACAAGCAGCGGAGCGUGUGGUUUAAUUCGAUGUUACACGAAGAACCUUACCAGGGUUUGACAUGCAAGUGGUAGGAAGCCGAAAGGUGACCGACCUUCGGGGAGCUUGCACAGGUGCUGCAUGGCUGUCGUCAGCUCGUGUCGUGAGAUGUUCGGUUAAGUCCGCUAACGAGCGCAACCCUCGCUGUGUGUUAUAUGUGUCACACGGGGACUGCCGGUCUUAAGCCGGAGGAAGUGGGAUGAUGUCAAGUCAGCAUGGCCUUUAUAUCCUGGGCUACACACACGCUACAAUGGCCGGUACAAAGAGUUGCGAUACCGCGAGGUGGAGCCAAUCUCAGAAAGCCGGUCUCAGUUCGGAUUAGAGUCUGCAACUCGACUCUAUGAAGUUGGAAUCGCUAGUAAUCGCGGAUCAGCACGCCGCGGUGAAUACGUUCCCGGGCCUU